rnacentral:rRNA from 1 species
UACGAAGGACGCAAGCGUUAUCCGGAUUUAUUGGGUUUAAAGGGAGCGUAGGCGGUCUUAUAAGUCAGUGGUGAAAUCUCGUUGCUUAACAACGACCGUGCCAUUGAUACUGUAGGACUUGAGUACAGUUGCCGUUGGCGGAAUGUGUCAUGUAGCGGUGAAAUGCAUAGAUAUGACACAGAACACCGAUUGCGAAGGCAGCUGACGAAACUGUAACUGACGCUGAGGCUCGAAAGCGUGGGGAUCAAACAGG